rnacentral:rRNA from 1 species
AGUGAACGCUGGCGGUAGGCCUAACACAUGCAAGUCGAACGGCAGCACAGUAAGAGCCUGCUCUUACGGGUGGCGAGUGGCGGACGGGUGAGGAAUACAUCGGAAUCUACUUUUUCGUGGGGGAUAACGUAGGGAAACUUACGCUAAUACCGCAUACGACCUACGGGUGAAAGCAGGGGAUCUUCGGACCUUGCGCGAUUAAAUGAGCCGAUGUCGGAUUAGCUAGUUGGCGGGGUAAAGGCCCACCAAGGCGACGAUCCGUAGCUGGUCUGAGAGGAUGAUCAGCCACACUGGAACUGAGACACGGUCCAGACUCCUACGGGAGGCAGCAGUGGGGAAUAUUGGACAAUGGGCGCAAGCCUGAUCCAGCCAUACCGCGUGGGUGAAGAAGGCCUUCGGGUUGUAAAGCCCUUUUGUUGGGAAAGAAAAGCAGCAGGUUAAUACCCCGCUGUUCUGACGGUACCCAAAGAAUAAGCACCGGCUAACUUCGUG